rnacentral:lncRNA from 1 species
UCUCCUUUCUUCAAAAGUUUUCCACUUUUACGAGCUAAUUUUUCCAAAAAAUCUAUAUGAUCAGUCCAACCUUCGAUUUUAUAUGUUUUACUUUCUUUAGAUGGAUAAACUACACCUGGACAAUCUAUAAGAUAUAUACGACGCAUCAAGGUGAUGUAUUGCCAUACUUUAGUUUCCCCUGCUAUUGGUGCUACUUUACAGACUUUCUUAGAUCUUAAUGUAUUAAUGAUCGAACUUUUUCCAGUAUUUGGAUAACCAAUGAAACCUACACUAAUUUGUUUUUUAUCUACAUGCAAUUUAGCGAAUUGACGCAAUAAAUUAAUAAGAGAACCUUUACCAAAUGGAUUAGUUAAAGAAGCAUGGAAUGCUACUGUUGGAUAUUCUGAGCUUAGAAUUGCAACCCAUCUUUGUGUCACCCAAGUUGGAACAAGAUCAACUUUAUUUAAAAUAAACAUUAAAUGUUUAUGUGGC